CUCUUUCUCUUGUUUGUUUGUUUGUUCUUUGAUUCGUGGAAUCUGAUUGUUCUUAUGCGGCGGUGGAUGCGUGGAGUUAGUUGAAAGCAAAGACGAGAAUCGAUUUGGGGGUUCUAGGAGACCGGGUGAAUUAGGAGAUUAGGGCACGGUGAUUUGGGUGUACUGCAGUGUUGACCUUGGUGGGUGCGGUUGGGUUAACCUGGGGAAGGAAUUGGUGGAUGGUGUACUGCAGUGUCUUCUAUUUUGUCUGUCGAUGUAUAUAAUAUUCUAGAAAAUAAUUAUGCUCUUCGUUCCUGCUAACAUGGUGCACCAGAUAACGUCUACAGAGAGAAUAUUUCCAUUAGGUUAUGGAAGUGCGGCAUUGGAAGUCUUACGUUUUGUUUCACAAGACUUGGUAUCUCUGUUUUUUGGAGUACCAAAAUAAGACUUCUCUUCGCUAGGUGCGAAAAGGAAACGGGAUGAAGUGGUGAGGAGGGACCUAUAGAUUUAUUGGAGCAUGGUGGAAUAUUGUGAAAUGUUUAGCUGAACUAGAUAUGAUGGAUCGCACCUUUGCUUUUCUUUAGAUAUUUUGUUGACUGCUUUUAGGAUCUUUGGUCUGUUCAAAAUUAUUAUUAUUUUUGGUUUGUACUGUAUAUUGUUUUGUACUUUACAUAACCUACAAUUAAAUUUCUCCGUAUAGUGAUUGUGAUAUCCCACUUUUGUCUCACUUUGGAUGUAUGAGGACUGAGGAUAUUUGACUUGGUUUAUAAGUGUAUGAUGCGUUUAAUAUGAUUUACUUGAGCUUAAGCAUUCUUCUGAGUAAGUGACUUAAAUGAAAGAUAUUGUAGUUAUCCUUUUGGGUCAGAUCAUGGCAAAUGAUAUCAGAGUGGACUUGAUAUUUGAUAUGGUGAGAGAGUCAACUGGAUCUCACAUGUAUUAUACAAAAGUUUAUUUUUGGUUGUGUUGCGUUUGGGUCUUAACGAGGACAUUAAGUCUUAAGUAAGGGAGAUUGUAAGAUACACCAAUUCAGUCACACAUCAGAUGUGUGAGGAGAGUUGAUUUGAUUUAUUAAAUUAGAUGGGUUUAAUGCAAAUAAUUUGGGCUUAAGCAUUUUGAGCUAGGGGUUUGAACUCAUUAAGUUAAUAGGAUAAUUAUUCUAUGGAGGUAGGAUCAUGACAAUUAGUGUUAGAGAGAAUCAAUGAUUAGGUUGAUGAUUUUAAUUUGUCUUGCAAUGUGUUGACGCUUUGUUUCCAAACUUGAUAUUUCUUUUAACAGCUUGAGACAGUAGAUCAAAGAGAGUCAGUUGAAAUUUGAGGAGAGGAUGUGGGAGACCAUUUAACAAGACUAGCAACAGAAAUGAGAUACUAUAAUUUCACUUGAAUGUGAAAAUAAUAGUCCCAGAAGAUGGAAGGCAAGGAUUUAUAUCCUGAAUGAAGCAAAACAUUUAGCUGAUGCAAAAAAAGUCUUCUGUGGAGCUUUGAUAUUUAUUCAGGCAUAUGGGUUGGCGGAUUAGGUUCAUCCUACACGAGAACAUGGUAAGUUGCCUAGAAACUAGUCGGUCUGCUUGCAGAGUGCAUCUGUAUCAGGGUGUGCUAGUUUUUCUCAUUUCCAAGAUGACUACACUCUGAUUUUGAUUGAAACAGUCAUUCCAUUCUGAUGCCUUUGGGUAUCUACGCAGUGCCCCUCUCCCUUGUAAUUUUAAAUAUAUUGUCGAAUGAAAUUUGGGUUGUGACUGCUUCCAUUAGCGGAGAGAUUUCUUUGGUGGCUUCUAA